AUGCAAGUCGAGCGGACAGAAGGGAGCUUGCUCCCGGAUGUUAGCGGCGGACGGGUGAGUAACACGUGGGUAACCUGCCUGUAAGACUGGGAUAACUCCGGGAAACCGGAGCUAAUACCGGAUAGUUCCUUGAACCGCAUGGUUCAAGGAUGAAAGACGGUUUCGGCUGUCACUUACAGAUGGACCCGCGGCGCAUUAGCUAGUUGGUGGGGUAAUGGCUCACCAAGGCGACGAUGCGUAGCCGACCUGAGAGGGUGAUCGGCCACACUGGGACUGAGACACGGCCCAGACUCCUACGGGAGGCAGCAGUAGGGAAUCUUCCGCAAUGGACGAAAGUCUGACGGAGCAACGCCGCGUGAGUGAUGAAGGUUUUCGGAUCGUAAAGCUCUGUUGUUAGGGAAGAACAAGUGCGAGAGUAACUGCUCGCACCUUGACGGUACCUAACCAGAAAGCCACGGCUAACUACGUGCCAGCAGCCGCGGUAAUACGUAGGUGGCAAGCGUUGUCCGGAAUUAUUGGGCGUAAAGGGCUCGCAGGCGGUUUCUUAAGUCUGAUGUGAAAGCCCCCGGCUCAACCGGGGAGGGUCAUUGGAAACUGGGAAACUUGAGUGCAGAAGAGGAGAGUGGAAUUCCACGUGUAGCGGUGAAAUGCGUAGAGAUGUGGAGGAACACCAGUGGCGAAGGCGACUCUCUGGUCUGUAACUGACGCUGAGGAGCGAAAGCGUGGGGAGCGAACAGGAUUAGAUACCCUGGUAGUCCACGCCGUAAACGAUGAGUGCUAAGUGUUAGGGGGUUUCCGCCCCUUAGUGCUGCAGCUAACGCAUUAAGCACUCCGCCUGGGGAGUACGGUCGCAAGACUGAAACUCAAAGGAAUUGACGGGGGCCCGCACAAGCGGUGGAGCAUGUGGUUUAAUUCGAAGCAACGCGAAGAACCUUACCAGGUCUUGACAUCCUCUGACAACCCUAGAAGAUAGGGCUUUCCCUUCGGGGACAGAGUGACAGGUGGUGCAUGGUUGUCGUCAGCUCGUGUCGUGAGAUGUUGGGUUAAGUCCCGCAA
rnacentral:rRNA from 1 species